AAAUACUUGCAAAUCAUUUCUCAAAGCAACUAACUCCCAAAAUUUUUGCAGUUGGCUAAUUACUUGCUAGGUCUUGUCGGAUUAGAUUCCUGCUGAUCAUCUUUUAGGCAGUCAGUUGAGCUCCUAGGCUGCUAUGUAGUGCUUGGUUUGGGCUGUUUCUUUGAUGUAGAAGCAGCACCGGCUCUGGGUCUCUGUUUAUAUUGUGCUGCCUCAUGUUAAAAUUACUUGCACCCACCUCCUGUAGCGAUUACCU
rnacentral:lncRNA from 1 species